GGAAGACUUAUGGUUAAGAAGACAUAUGGGUUUUGCUGAUUAGCUAUAGACUUAGUUAAGGUUAGGUGUAAGGUUAAGAAUAGUGUAAAUUUGGGUUCUAAAUACUUUUCAUGAACAUGGGGCCGGAAUGUUUAAGAUGUGAUACAGUGCCCUAAUGAGUGGGGAUGCCUUAACAGCAUUAAAGACCCCCGACCUAAGCAAUGCACUUGGGAACUGCC